rnacentral:rRNA from 1 species
AGAUUGAACGCUGGCGGCAUGCUUUACACAUGCAAGUCGUGCGGCAGCGCGGGGGCAACCCUGGCGGCGAGCGGCGAACGGGUGAGGAAUACAUCGGAACGUACCCCGGAGUGGGGGAUAACCCAGCGAAAGUUGGACUAAUACCGCAUAUGCUCUGAGGAGGAAAGCAGGGGACUUCGCAAGAGGCCUUGCGCUCUGGGAGCGGCCGAUGUCCGAUUAGCUAGUUGGUGGGGUAAUGGGCUCACCGAGGCGACGAUCGGUAGCUGGUCUGAGAGGAUGAUCAGCCACACUGGGACUGAGACACGGCCCAG